rnacentral:lncRNA from 1 species
CUCAUGACAGCAAAGAUUUUGAAAGUUAGACAGUUCAUGUUCACUGAAUGAGCAAAUAAAUGAAUGAAUGAGUAAAAAUGUAAAUGAUUAAAUAAAAUCACCACAGUUGACUCUACAGAGAGGAGUCAGUGUAGGUAAUUCUUUGUCUCUUAAAAGUUGAGGGCCAUUAUGAAGUGGAAAAGUUAAAAUAAAAGUUAUAUAUUUCCACAAUGGCAACUCUGUAACAUGACAGAUUCUGUGUCAAGUGAGUGGCACAGAUCAAUUUUAAAAUAAGGAUUAUCCUUCCAGGGCAGGGCUGUUUGUGAAAAGACAUUUUGAGAAUACGGAACUAGAACUCGAUCAUUCAGAAAAUAUUAUGUGAAUGUGUACUAUGUGUUGUGCACUAGACUAUGUAUUGGGGAGCCACCAUGUCUGAGCAUUUAAGGUCAGAGAUUAUUUUGGAGAACAGAACAAUAGUGCAAGUAUUAAACUGAUAAUGGCCUGAAAACAUUGGCAGCAUUCAGAAUGCAGAUUGUAUAGACUAUAUAUGUGGAAGGAAAGAUUAAGAAAAAGCAAGAAAUGCAAUGGAUCUUGAGCACAGGAACACACCUAAUCUGUAAAAUAAGAUUUAUGGAGUCUGCCAGCACAAGUGGUUAUCAAGGCGCAAGACAUAUAUUUUUCUCGGACUGGCAUGAUCUGCACAUGCAUCUGCAUAAAGAAUUUAGGAUUUGGUUAAAAUAACCUAUAUACAACUAAGUCAAAUAUUGUCUUGGUAACUGGGGUAUUGACAAAAAUGUAAUUGUCAUGACCUUCCAAGUGCCCCACUUCAAAUAACACCCUUGAACAGAAAAAUAGAGGAAGAAAUUGAGGCAGAGAACACACCAAGUAAAGGGAAGUGAAUUUAUCAACCCGGGAAACACUUCC